CGCGUAACAAAUACGGUCCAAACCUUCGUCGUCAUCUUUGCCGAGCUGAUAAAGCAAAUUUUGAUAUCAACGCUAUUUCAUUCUGAAGUUCGUAUACAGCGAGUAGGAACUCCUUGUUGAACACAGGACCCAAUUUGAGAACGUCGGUUGUCGAAUUAUAAGGCACCUGAAUGCGAAGAAUUUUAGAAGUGAUAAAAUAAUAAUACAAGAAAAACAGAAGGGUUGAAACUGCGUAUCGAAGUAAUCCUUCUCGACUCUAGCUCUGCUAGUGGGUGCUGCCCAAAUUUCCGUUGGAUUGCUUAUUACUU